rnacentral:rRNA from 1 species
CCUACGGGAGGCAGCAGUGGGGGAUAUUGGACAAUGGGGGAAACCCUGAUCCAGCGACGCCGCGUGAGUGAAGAAGUAUUUCGGUAUGUAAAGCUCUAUCAGCAGGGAAGAAAGAAAUGACGGUACCUGAGUAAGAAGCCCCGGCUAACUACGUGCCAGCAGCCGCGGUAAUACGUAGGGGGCAAGCGUUAUCCGGAAUUACUGGGUGUAAAGGGUGCGUAGGUGGUUUGACAAGUUGGUAGCGUAACUCCGGGGCUCAACCUCGGCACUACUACCAAAACUGUCGGACUUGAGUGCAGGAGGGGCAAAUGGAAGUCCUAGUGUAGCGGUGGAAUGCGUAGAUAUUAGGAGGAACACCAGUGGCGAAGGCGAUUUGCUGGACUGUAACUGACACUGAGGCACGAAAGCGUGGGGAGCAAACAGGAUUAGAUACCCCUGUAGUC